CCUGGCUCAGGAUGAACGCUAGCUACAGGCUUAACACAUGCAAGUCGAGGGGCAGCAUUUCAGUUUGCUUGCAAACUGGAGAUGGCGACCGGCGCACGGGUGAGUAACACGUAUCCAACCUGCCGAUAACUCGGGGAUAGCCUUUCGAAAGAAAGAUUAAUACCCGAUGGUAUAAUCAGACCGCAUGGUCUUGUUAUUAAAGAAUUUCGGUUAUCGAUGGGGAUGCGUUCCAUUAGGCAGUUGGUGAGGUAACGGCUCACCAAACCUUCGAUGGAUAGGGGUUCUGAGAGGAAGGUCCCCCACAUUGGAACUGAGACACGGUCCAAACUCCUACGGGAGGCAGCAGUGAGGAAUAUUGGUCAAUGGGCGCAGGCCUGAACCAGCCAAGUAGCGUGAAGGAUGACUGCCCUAUGGGUUGUAAACUUCUUUUAUAUGGGAAUAAAGUUUUCCACAUGUGGAAUUUUGUAUGUACCAUAUGAAUAAGGAUCGGCUAACUCCGUGCCAGCAGCCGCGGUAAUACGGAGGAUCCGAGCGUUAUCCGGAUUUAUUGGGUUUAAAGGGAGCGUAGGUGGACAGUUAAGUCAGUUGUGAAAGUUUGCGGCUCAACCGUAAAAUUGCAGUUGAUACUGGCUGUCUUGAGUACAGUAGAGGUGGGCGGAAUUCGUGGUGUAGCGGUGAAAUGCUUAGAUAUCACGAAGAACUCCGAUUGCGAAGGCAGCUCACUGGACUGCAACUGACACUGAUGCUCGAAAGUGUGGGUAUCAAACAGGAUUAGAUACCCUGGUAGUCCACACAGUAAACGAUGAAUACUCGCUGUUUGCGAUAUACAGUAAGCGGCCAAGCGAAAGCAUUAAGUAUUCCACCUGGGGAGUACGCCGGCAACGGUGAAACUCAAAGGAAUUGACGGGGGCCCGCACAAGCGGAGGAACAUGUGGUUUAAUUCGAUGAUACGCGAGGAACCUUACCCGGGCUUAAAUUGCAUUUGAAUAUAUUGGAAACAGUAUAGCCGUAAGGCAAAUGUGAAGGUGCUGCAUGGUUGUCGUCAGCUCGUGCCGUGAGGUGUCGGCUUAAGUGCCAUAACGAGCGCAACCCUUAUCUUUAGUUACUAACAGGUCAUGCUGAGGACUCUAGAGAGACUGCCGUCGUAAGAUGUGAGGAAGGUGGGGAUGACGUCAAAUCAGCACGGCCCUUACGUCCGGGGCUACACACGUGUUACAAUGGGGGGUACAGAAGGCAGCUACCUGGUGACAGGAUGCUAAUCCCAAAAGCCUCUCUCAGUUCGGAUCGAAGUCUGCAACCCGACUUCGUGAAGCUGGAUUCGCUAGUAAUCGCGCAUCAGCCAUGGCGCGGUGAAUACGUUCCCGGGCCUUGUACACACCGCCC
rnacentral:rRNA from 1 species